rnacentral:rRNA from 1 species
GACUCCGGCUAUCUUUAAUAAGACGGAAAGACCCCGAGAGCUUUAUACUUUGUAUUUACUUGGGGCAAGGGCAUCUUGUUUAUAUGUUUUUUGAUCCUUUUGUUGGAUUAGAGGGUUAAGUUACCUCGGGGAUAACUAGGUAAGAGAUGAGGAGAGAUCGCAUCGAUUCAUCUGUUUGCCAUCUCGAUGUUGACUUGGGGUUGUUGUAUAGGUGUAGGAGUUUAUAUAAUAGGUCUGUUCGACCUGUGAGCCUC